CCAAAGUGCAAAUUUGGAGACGCACCCAGAGAGGUGCCGGGGCUUCUCCCGUUU
rnacentral:tRNA from 1 species